GGGGGCGACCGGUAUUGACAGCGGGUUGGAAGUCUGUGUAUAAGCAUGUCGGGAGUUGAGGGUACCUCCCGUUAAUCAAUGCCUUUCAAACAAUAACUGGCGAAUCUAACUACGCCAUGGCUGCCUAAUCCGGAGAGAUUAAGCUAAUGCCAUCAUCCCUCCAACCUACGUGCUGAUGGUUGGGCUCCGGGGUGUCGACAAACAGCACUGGUUGGUAUAGCGGUACGGAAAGCCAACGAGAACCUAGUACCUAAGGCUAUGAUGAAGGUCCGCCGCGUACCUUGUCAGGCUCGAAAACCGAAUCACGGAUAAACAUGUAGAAGGCGCAGGGUUUCCCUGAUCUGGACGAGGGUUCGAAUCCCUCCGUCUCCACAG
rnacentral:tmRNA from 1 species